rnacentral:misc_RNA from 1 species
CACCGAAGUCCAAGAAGUCCGAUUGCUGUUCAUCAAUUGCUCGCUCCUCCUCAGCGGUAUUCGUUGUCCUCUCCCUCCUUGACGCUUCACGCGCUCUUCCACAGAGCAAAUUUCUCUAUUUUUUUCUCAAGGAAUCUUCAUGGAUACCGGUAUCGUCAAGUGGUUCAACGACAGCAAAGGCUUUGGCUUCAUCACGCCGGACAACGGCGGCGACGAUCUGUUCGCUCACUUCUCGGAAAUUCGUGCCGACGGCUUCAAGACGCUGGCUGAAAACCAGAAAGUGAGCUUCGAAACGAAGCAAGGACCGAAGGGUCUGCAAGCGGCGAACAUCAAGCCGCUGUAAAGUUUGAAGGGCCCGGCCUCCCACGACGGACGCCGGGUCGCA